UGUAGGAGUGAGCCUGCUCGCGAUAGCGGUGUGUCAGGUUAAGAAAUGUCGACUGACACACCGCUAUCGCGAGCAGGCUCACUCCUACA
rnacentral:antisense_RNA from 2 species